CGCAUCUGUGCAUGCAGCAUAUCAAUAGCGGAGGAAAAGAAACUAACAAGGAUUCCCCUAGUAACGGCGAGUGAAGCGGGAAGAGCUCAAAUUUGAAAUCUUAAAGGGUUUCCCUUUACGAAUUGUAGUUUAAAGAAGUGUUUUCUGUUGAGGUUUUGGUAAAAGUUCUUUGGAAUAGGACAUCAUAGAGGGUGAGAAUCCCGUAUUUGACCUUUACUUUCAACUUUGUGAUACACUUUCAAAGAGUCGGAUUGUUUGGGAAUGCAGUCCAAAAUGGGUGGUAAAUUUCAUCUAAAGCUAAAUAUUGGCGAGAGACCGAUAGCGAACAAGUACCGUGAGGGAAAGAUGAAAAGAACUUUGAAAAGAGAGUUAAACAGUACGUGAAAUUGUCAAAAGGGAAGCGUUUGACACCAGUGUUGUUUUUCUGAAAAUCAAUUAAAGAACUGUUUAUGCUAAGCUGUUUAGACUUUAUCAGCUAUCUGUUUAGUUUUGAGCUUUUCUUUAAUGCACUUUUCAGUUAACAAGUCAACAUCAAUUUCUUUUGCUGUAAAAAAAGCUUGAGGAAGGUGGCUUGAGAUUCGUCUUAAGUGUUUAUAGCCUCUUGCCUAUGCAGUCGGAGAGAUUGAGGUCUGCAGCGUAGAUCCUUCGGGGCUAAAUGCAUUUGUGCUAAGUUAUAGCAUUUUAUAGACAACUUGUUGACUAUGAUUUGUCUUGUAGCUUACUCGCUUAUGUUAUUUUACCUACGCUUAGGAUGUUGAACGCGCACAGAGUCUC
rnacentral:rRNA from 1 species